GUCCCUGUUGAGCAAUGAAUAGCUCGUUGGACUCUCAAUCCUAAGGUCGUGGGUUCGAAUCCCUCCUGGGAUG